UGCCUACCCAGUAUGCUUUCCUGGCCCUUACCUUGUUUUACAAAUUACAAGAAACGCACCAAAUAUUAGAGGAACAACAUCCAACUCCAGUGUCUCAAAUUUACCACCGUGUGCAUUUGUCUUUCAGGUGAAUUAUUGGAGACAAAAACUUUAAUAGAUAGAAUAUGUAACUCCAACAAAAUGCUUGAGUUGAGUUGCUUAGAAGCUUAGCAGAGAGCUUUUGGUGGUAACUCGUUCAUGAUUUUUUGUUAUUUGUAUCAUGUCAUGAUACUAAAAAUUGGAAUAGUUCCAACUGGUUUGGAUCAACAGUUUUUGGUUGGAUCAGCUUCUUUUACCUAUACAACUUUUUUAGCUCCAGAAUUCGUGCAAUGCCACACUUCAUCAACACUUGUUUACAAUAGCAAUUGUAGUCUUAAAAGUGGGGUCUUUUCCGGUCAACAAGGUUGAUCAGACCAAGGUGUGAGCUCAUCCUAGAAACCAAAAAUGCUGUUUCUUUUGAAAUGGGCUUUUUAACCCUCUUUUCCAUGGAGUUAACGCUAGGAUUUGAUUAAUGGUGGUGAAAUGACACAAUUAUGGAUGGGUGCUUUUGUUGUCAUCUCAUUUCUUUACAUGUCAGCAGGCCAGCGAAUGAUUUGCUAGAGUAAUUGGUAAACCAACACCCAGUGCCUGCAAUAUUCUUUGUUGGGGUAUUUUGCAUGAUCAAAUCUAAGUCUUUUAUGGUUUAGGUUUAUAAGGCAUUUGUUACUAUUAAAUUUACUUGCUGAAUCUGGAUAGUGAACGCAUGCCAAACUCUUGGUUUUCACUGAUUGAAUUUUCAUUUGGAUUGUAGACUAUAUAGAACGGUUAGGUUUGUUGAUUUCGUAUUUCACUAAGUGUCCACUCAUGUACUUUCUUCAUCAAAUGUUAUGAAGUUAAACGAGUCUAUAACCCUACAACGGCUGCCGUCCUUUUUUUCUGAAAGUGGCUAAAACUCUUGAACUGUCAUCGCAAUAGAAUUUGAUUAGAGGAUCUCCAAGAUAGAAGAACAUAUUAAGCAGCUGGGGUCAGAUUCUGUCCUCACUACCAACUGUUUAUUGUUCACAAAUCUCUUGCAAGUCUGCCAUGGUUGCAGGGAAGAGUCUAAAUGAAACGAAAUUUGCUCUAUUUCUUUCCAAGCUUGUAGAGUUCCAUUGUAGUGUAUGAACAGUGAUCAAGGACAAUCUAUUAAUCUGGCACCUGAAAUGCUGUCAACAACAAAAUUAUCAUAUUUCAUGUUAGCUUGACCAGU